GACGAACGCUGGCGGCGUGCUUAACACAUGCAAGUCGAACGGAAAGGCCCUGCUUGCAGGGUACUCGAGUGGCGAACGGGUGAGUAACACGUGGGUGAUCUGCCCUGCACUUCGGGAUAAGCCUGGGAAACUGGGUCUAAUACCGGAUAGGAGCCAUUUUUAGUGUGAUGGUUGGAAAGUUUUUUCGGUGUAGGAUGAGCUCGCGGCCUAUCAGCUUGUUGGUGGGGUAAUGGCCUACCAAGGCGGCGACGGGUAGCCGGCCUGAGAGGGUGGACGGCCACAUUGGGACUGAGAGACGGCCCAGACUCCGAAGGGAGGCAGCAGUGGGGAAUAUUGCACAAUGGGCGCAAGCCUGAUGCAGCGACGCCGCGUGGGGGAUGACGGCCUUCGGGUUGUAAACUCCUUUCGCUAGGGACGAAGCUUUUUGUGACGGUACCUAGAUAAGAAGCACCGGCUAACUACGUG
rnacentral:rRNA from 1 species